GCCUCCUUGGUGAUUCCUUGGGAACAGAGGGUUGGGAUGGCAGCUUACUCCCCAUCCUCAGCCCCCAUCGUGCUGUGUGUGGGGAAGGACCCCUGCAACUGGUGCCCCGUGUAAGGAACAACGAAAGAGAUACCGGCUGAGGCCAAUCAGUCUUUCAGGAAAAUGGAGCACAAAAUCCUCCUGUUGCUGGCCCUCUCCCUAAACUGUCUACAAGUGAGGAGUCAAGCCUAUGGGUUAGAUAAUCCACAUCAACCCCAGAAGGUCACCUGGUUGGUGAUCAACAUGGCCAUGUCAGAUGCCAUCAAUAAAACUACUCAGAUCACCCCCCCCUUCUACAUGGUGGCCGGACCUGCAAUUUGACCUCUGCAAUCUUACAGCUGGAUCUUGGGACGUGAGCGGAUGAAUGGCCCCGGGGAAAAACAGACUGGAAUAUGGAGACAGCGGGAAGGGAUGCACCCUGCCACUUGUGGGUUCCCCUAACUCUCCUGGCUGCUCAGAUGUCCUUAAAAGACAUGCGUUGCUAUUGACAACAUUCUAUGUCUGUCCCGGGUCCAAUAGAAUUGCAUCACAAUUAUG